UCAAAUAAACUGGUUAGUCUCUAAGGUGCCACAAGUACUCCUUUUCUUUUUACGAAUACAGACUAACACGGCUGUUACUCUGAAACCUAUCUCAGAGCUGUUGGCCCUGCAGUUUGAGAGGGAGUAAAAAGCAAUACAAAUGUACCUUGGCUACUGAAGUCAGCAGAUAUGACUGUUUACACAGAAGGCUGCAUUUUGCUGUACAAGGUAGUGCUAUUUUUACAUUAUGUUUCAGAUAAAACUUCUAAGACCACACCUAGUAUAUUGUGUUCAGUUCUGGGCUACUCAGCACCAGAGACAUUUAAGCAAAUUGCAGUGAGUUCAGCAAAGAGCAAUUAAUUAGGGAACUGGAAAGAUUGACUAUAAGGAAAAGUUAGUUAUAAAUGUUGACUAAGAGGGUGGAUAUGAUAGUUAUCUAUAAUUGAUAUGAGUAAAAAGUCAGUAAGAGGAAAUGUUUGAGCGCAAGGAAUAUACUGCAAAGGUAGUUAAAGGAACUUAAGAAAAUGAAAAUUUAGCUGAAUAUAGUAUUAAGAAAAACUUCCUGACUCUGAGUUCUGUUGGACUGUGGAAUUGUCCCCCAAAGAUUGAACAAAACAACAGAGUAUACAAUGUAGAGAACAAUCAUGUAUUGAAAGGAGGAUGGACUAAAUAACCUAAUAGGUCUUUUCCAUCUCUAAUUUCUAUGAACUAAUACUUACAGAGUUUACAUCUAGUCCCAAAACAUUUUCUCUGACAAAAAUCCAUGCUUUUUGUGUGUGGAUCUUUGUGCCUUUGCUGUUUAUCUACCAAUUGCCACCAAAGAUAAAAUCUCAUUUCAACUUUUCUGCUAAGUGCAUUUGGCAACAUAAAUUAAAAAUAAUGGGAUUUAUAAAUUAAAAUGUAAAGAACUUAAAGUUCUUUAAUUACAGUACUUCACUUCAGCUAUUUAUCAAGGCCUCUUCUUACUACUACUUACUUAAUUUAGUAGUAUUAAUACUAUGUGAUAUUGUUUAUGGAAUUUUUAUAUAUUCUGGUUUUGAUGCCUAAUAGAUUUAAAUCUUAUUUUACAGAUGACUUGUUUCAGAUUAUAUGUGAUAAACAUUUUUGGAUGUGGGCUGUCACAGCCCUAUCUUGGUAUUUUACUAAUCUCCCUUUACAAUCUCCCAUUACAAUCUGCAUUCAGAUUACAAAGAACAUCAUCAGCAUUACCAGAUCUUGUGAUAUUUCACAUAUUUUAAAGUCCCAGCUCCUGGAGGCAACUAAUUACGUGAAGAUCUCAGUUUCCUUUAAAAAAGUGGAUACAGGAGUCCUUCAAGUGGGAGAUGCAGGUCUUGAUCCUGCACGAUGAUAAGCACCUUCUGCAGAGUGCCGAGUGCCCUAACCUUCAACUGAAAUCAACAGGAGUUGAGCUGCCCUCAGUACUUCACUGGUAUGGACCCUCAAUUAGCUCUAACUGUGCCCUGUUUAACUUGACCCUUUGAACCGCUAACUCUUUUCCAAUAAAGCGGUUUUAUAAACAUCAGGGGAUUGAUUCUGAACUCGGGAUUGAUUCUGAACUCGUUCAACUGAGAGAGUCAGGAGUAACUCCACUGAAGUCACUGUAAUUAUCCUAAUGCAAAAAUGCUGAGAGAGCAGGAUCAGGGCCCCAUGUCUUUAUAUUGCUGCACUGUCCCUUUUUCUAACUUGGUUGGUUUUUUUAAGGGGAGACAGAAUACAUUGCAACUCUCUUUCUGCUAGAAUAGCUCUGUAGUUCUAACAUCAGGAGAAACAUGGACUUUAGAUAAGCUUGGUAAAUAUGGCUUGGGAAACACAUGGGGAAAAGACGAGUUCAAUUUUAGCAGACUCGUUUCUUUCCCCAUAACCAUAUUUAUGAGGACCAUGUGAAGUCUGACUGGUUCCAAAAUGAGCCUGUUAUAGAAGUUCUUUUUAUUUUUAAAUUUCCUCUGGAUCCUGAAAGGUAUUUGCCCUACAGAACAAAGGCUGCUAUAUAGAAAAAGAUCUAAAUUUUCAGAUGAGUGAUUCACCAGCAAACCCAGAGAACUGGUUUUAUUUAUAGUCGUAUACAUUUCCCACUAUCUACUCUAGAUUAAAGAAAACCAGAAAGAAUACUAACUCUUAAAUCCCCCCACAGCCCUGUCCCAUGGGGACAUCUUACAAUGAGCAGGAUGCAUAAAACAGCAUCAUAGUUAUAUACACCAGUUUCCAUUAUAAGCCCUCUUUUCACAAAUUUGUAGCAGCCAUAACUUGGAAGCAGAUUAAGUGUGGGGAAGGUAGGAAAGAAGGAUGGGAACGGUUACUCCUCCCCACGUCCAUGUAUAAUUGCCAUUAGCACUAAUGAGAGUUCUACGCUCAUAGAAAGAGUAGAACCUUUAUAGUUACUCCAAAUAAAUCUGGCUCCUUAUGUUAUAAGGAAAUGAAAAAGUGUAUUCCUUUCUGUUGCUUUUUUAUCUCAACAAUUAGGACUAACAGCUUUGUUCUUAAAAAUAACAUUCUUAUGCUAUUAGCUCAUAACAUAAAUAACUAAGUUGAAACAUCUCAAAUCAUUAACACCUGAAAAUCAUUUACCACUCUUUAGAGAAAACCCCAAACUAAAGCGUGGACUCCUCAGAAGACUUGGGUAAGUUUGUAUCUGGAUAGAACAUUGUGGCUUAGGUCCAUCUCUGCUGCUCAAGCACAUAAUUUUUCCCUUAUUUUUCUUUAGCUAUUGUGUUCUUAGACUGCAUGUGAUCCACAUUCAGAACUUAAUUGAUUUUAGAUACAUGGGUACUGUGAGAGAAUGUAACCCUGUGAUCACACCUACACGCCACUGUGAUCAAUUUUGUACAAGGCAUGCCUUGUAAGGUAUCAUUUGAAAACUCACAAUUUGCUGGUCAGUAUAGUCCUGAUAAAAUAUGUGUGGGAGUUCCCUCUAUGAUGUUAUUAACACAUGUUCCACAGCCCUACCCAAACAGAGCUUGGCGAACAGGUCUGUCCUAAACAAAGGAAUGUGUGCUCUGCUUAAUUUGCAUUUAAGUAGUAAACAGAGUCAUCAAGCAGGAAGGGAAACAAAGGAAGCUCAAUCAGGUGAGAAAAAGCCAGCAGGGAACACCCCUCCACAUAGAUUCUGUCUCCUAGUGCUCAGCUGGAAAUGUUUUUCAAGAGACGGACUGAAACUAUAAAAAGGAGGGACAAAGACCCCAAGGCACCACUCUCUUUCCCUGCUCAUCACAUUCACUGUACCUGAAGGGACAAAGGAAGCAAUCGUUGGACUCUGGGGGGAGGGUUCCCAUCCCACAGUUUGGUCAGUAAGACUGCGGUAAGCAACGUUUCUUCAAACGUUGCUUUAAUCUGAUAUAGGUAGUUAAAUUAGGUGUUAGUCUUAUCUUUAUUUUUCUUGUAACCAUUUCUGACUUUUAUGCCUUAUUACUUGUACUCACUUAAAAUUUCUCUCUUUGUAGUUAAUAAACUUGUUUUAUUGGUUUAUCUAA